GCAUCGCUUCGCUUAACGCUCAAGCAUUAGGUUUUAGCAUUCCCCCACCUCCUUGCGCGAUCUUCUUCUUCUUCUUCACUUCUCAAAAACCCAAGUCCCCUUCCUCCCUCGAUCCAGAAGAUAUAUGUAAUAUAUAUGUAAGCAUAUGCUGUGCUAGGUCGUUUUCGGCUGUUUUACAGUCAUGUCUAUUCGAUACAAAUUCAGAAGCUCCGCGAACUUUGACUCGGUUGACAUCGAAGGUCGGCCGUCGAUAUCAGUUCGCGAACUCAGGGCUAGCAUAGUUCGCCGGAAUAAACUCAACCUCAACUCCCAGAAUUUCGUUCUCGUCCUCUCCGACGCCGUCACCGGUCAAGAGUAUAACGAUGAGGAUUUUCAAAUCCCUAGCGGUUCCACUGUAAUCGUUAAGAGACUGCCUGCUGGUUCUGUCCCUUCUCCAUUGGAACCCAUCAAUUCAGUUGGAAAUCUUGACUCCAAGGAUUCCAACCCUGUUAAUCCCAUUGGAUGUCUUCCCUUGAAUGCAGAUACAGACAACUUUCAUGACUUUGGGAUUGACUUCUUUCCUGUUCCUGAGGCAGUCUUAUGUGAUUCUGAUAUGAAGAGAUGCAGUAGUAGUGGAAAGCCGAAUAAUGCAAUUCCUGGGUGUAGAGCCGGAUUUUCAAAUUUUGAAGCAAGUGAACUUAGCGAGGGUAUUUGGAAUGAUCCUAACCACAAUGGUACAGAACGAAACUCCCCAGAGACAAAAGUGAAACCAAAUGGUGACAGCCACAAGGAAUUGGAUAAGAUGGUUGCUGCCAAUUAUUCAGCCGUGCAGAAUAAUGAUUUUCCAUCAGAAUUUAAAUGUCCUCUGUGCAAUGCAUUUUUCAAGGAUGCUGUUAUGAUACCAUGCUGUCAGCAUAGUUUCUGUGAAAAAUGUAUUCAUGAUGAGCUCCAAAAGAAGGCACAAUGUCCAAAAUGUUUUUCUUGCCAAUGUAAGGUUGAAAAUCUGCUACCAAAUUUAUGUCUUAGGCAAGCAAUUAAGCACUUCCUCACAGCUCCAUAUCCUAUGAGUAGCUCAGACAAUGCGUUGGAUAAAUAUGCCCCAGAUGGUGAAUCUGGAAUUCAUGCGAAAAAUUUUUCUUGUGAUGUAAAUGCCCGUAAAAGUGAGCCGUACGUUCCACUUUCUCCUUCUGCAAAUGAAAAGGGCUCCAACCAAAUUAUGGCUGACGAGUCAUGGAUCGGUAAUACAGUGCCCUUGUGGUGCUCUGGUUUUCGUGGCAGUAACAUAGGUGCCAGUAAAGCUUUGAAAUCGGCAUCACAUAAAUUGGGACAAAUAGAUGGAGAACAAGUUGAUAAAAUUCUUCAUGUGGAUUCUCGAGGUGAAGAAUUAAUGGCUGUUCCUGAUUUUCAAGGGGAAAACCAGCCUCAUGAUUUGCCUCAAAGUUGCAUGCAUGAAGAAGUUGAUUCUGGAAUCAACAAAAACAAGGGAGUGUUGAUCCAUAAUAGAGGUGGAGAUAGUAAUUUCGUGGCUUCUAGACACAGAAAGAGAGGACGUACCUGUUACACAUGUGGUUCUCCAGACCAUCUCAUAAGAGACUGUCCAGUUGCUUCUUGCCCCUAUCCUAAACUUCAGACUGGUGCUGUGUCAAAUUAUGCCUCACCCUUCUGGACUGGCAAUUCUUUAGCUCCUACCCAACAUUUCAUGGAUAUGUAUGGAAAUUCUGGGAUGAUGCCUUUACCUGCAAUGGUUCCUCCACCUUUCAUGGCUCCUACAUAUAUGCCACCAGUGUUUGGAGGGUUACCUGUACCCAGUGGAUUCACGAGGGUUGGAGGCGUGUUUCCACAAGUACAAACUGGUUCAGUGCAUCCUGUUGCUCAUCCAGAAAAAUUGGAGGUUCGCCAUUGUGAAAACAGAUCUAAGUUUUUGAAUGAGAAUCUGGGGAGAGGGCGGCCUUAUGAGGAUGGUGAUGGAGACUACAAUAAGUAUUCGUGUAAUAAACUGAAGAGACCGCAUCAGGAUAGAUAUAAUAUAGAGACAGAAAAGAGUGGAAGCCACUCCAAAGAUAGCUUCACUUAUCGAUCACAACGGGAAGUUCCACAUGAUAAACAUUUAGAUCAGGACAACUAUGCUGUGGCUGAAGGACAGGUGAAAAAUUUUCAUCCUGCAAUUGCUGAAGGAGAAUGGUCUAAUAGGAGGCCAUAUCAUGGAGGGAGAUCAAGUUCAGAAGCAGAAGAUUUGCAUGCUAGAUCUGACAGGCAGUUUGAGCAGAGAGACAGACACCAUUACAGAAGCUCCGAAAAGCAUGAAAGGAAGAAGCAGUGGGAGUUGGAAGAAAGAGGAAAGGAUGGUGAAAGAAUGAGGGAUAAGCAUGGAGAAGAUUCUCAUUACCGCAAGUGGAGAAGAGUUCAUUAGAACAAGACAUUCUUGUUUUUGAGGUAAAGGUGUAUAUAGCAGUGCAUAUAUCAACUAGGCAAUCAUGGAUCCUGGUAUGUUUUCAUAAUUGAUUAGAUUUUCUAUACAAUUAAUUCAGUAUGUAGAUCUAGUUCUCAUCUUUUAGUUACCAAAGAGGCGGUGGGUAUAUUAAGAUGCACACAACUUUUUUUGGGCACGUUUGGGCUCAUUAGGAUCUAAUUUAGAAUUCUCUUGGGCUUUGUUAGUAAGGUUUUGCAAGGGUGAUUAGGUUUUCGAGAAUUCAUGCUUCACCUUUUUUGCUAACUCUCUUCACAUUUUAGCUUGAGGUUUGGACGCUAGCAAAGGUUUUAGCCACAGGAGAUUUGGCAUAUUGAAAUAGGGUUUGGAUGACAUUUCCACGUGCGGCCACAUUUCUUAUUCUGCAGAGGUUUGUAGCUGAAAAAGGUAUGUGCUCCUUUGAAGUCUAUGAAGGUUUCUUUUCCAUCCCAAAGGCUAUUCCCUGCCUUCGGGAGUUUGUCAAGUCCCUUUUAUUUUCUCUUGGCUUGAUUCAAUUCAGCGUCACUCCUUUAGGUUACCGGUUAGGCUACUUGUUUUCCAAAUUGAAGUAAUAGUUUUGAGGAGUGAACACUCGGUAAAAUCUAGUUUCUUAUCAUCUUUCCUACUGCAAAAUUCAGUUGAGGGCUGUUUGGUUAUGGUUGUGUUUGAAAACCCAACAUGCUAAAAUUUUUCAAAGCUUUUUUCUGGUUUCAUAUAGUCUUGCAAUUUCAGAUAUGAUAACUUUUAGAGUCAGUACAAACAUUUCCUUCUUUCUUAAAAUCAGGAUAUUUUUAGUCAGUACACAUUCUUAGUUCAGCCAUCUUGAAUAUAUUUUUAUAGUCUGUCUCCCACUAGUUUGGAUGUCCACUUUUUAGCGACUUUUUUUUUUUUUUUGUGGCUGCUGAAUAUAUUUGGCGUAGGUUUUUCUGUUUAAUACAUAGUAAAGUAGUCCUAAAAUGUAUGUUGGUUGGUGAAAUUACUUGUGCUUUGGCUAUUAUGAUUUUAGCAUUUUCAACUGUUAUCUAUUUUCAAAGUACUUUGACUAAUGCAGUCUGAUACAUUACGAUUUUGGUAUGCUCUACAAUUAUUUAAUUUACACAUACACACACCCCUUGUUAAUUUAGUGUACUAUUUUUUAAGAAAAUAAAGGCCCAAUGCACUGCCAACUCUCUCUAAAUAUACGCAUAUGUAUUCGUAUAAGAAUUUUUUGUAAAUAUAUGUAAAACAACAAAUUUUAUUAUAAAACUAAUGAUUUUGUUGACACGGUACUGUCUAGUCCAUUGAUCGAUUGGGUUGGGUUGACAAAGUUGGCAUUGCUCUUUCCAAUUCCUUAUUCCUUCUCCUCCACACCCCCCCCCCCCCCAAAAAAAAAAAAAAAAAAAAAAAAAAUGGGAGCAACAAAGUUGCACCAUUAUGAAUAGGUAUUUUUUUUUUUCAAAUUAUAAUCUUUGUCCCCCUUGUAGUGUGUCAAAAAUGUUACUUUUUUAUAUUGUGGUUCAUCUGGUGGGCUGAGAAUGGGGAGGGGGUGGAGGUUUUGCAGCUUAAGCCAUGGCCAAGGGAAGAGUUGCAAGGAACGGUGGCCAUGUUCUACUGAUUUCACAAGAGCAUCAUCUUGGGCAAUCAAAGUAGGAGAUGGCAGACAGGACCAGGAUGAAGCAUAAGGAGUCACAGCUCUAUCAAGUUUCAACAAUGAUAGGGGAAAUACAUAGUAGGAUGGAAGUGUUGGAGAAUUCAAUAGAUCGGAGAAUUGAAGGCAUGGUGAAUAUGUGGCGCGAAGAAAAUAGAUUGCAGACGACGAGAUUGGAAGAGGAAAUGAGGUAGCAGGGUCAGGCCCUCAAAGCAAAUGUAACAAUUUGUUCUGAUACUCACUCGUAAAGGUAAAAGAAAAGCCUUGGAUGAGGGUGUAUCUGAUGGAGUUUGAUUCUCGUGAGUUAGUUAUGUGUACAGAGCAAUUCCAACCAAAAGAUCCGUGAGAGUUUGUGUUGAGGGCAAUAGAAAUAAGCUUAAUUUUGUAUUUUAUUUUGUGCCCUUUAUUUUGAGAUGUAUGGGUGGGUAGGCCUUAAAGAAUUUAUUAAAUGAAUGGUGAUGUAAGUGUUUAUAUUGAUUUCAAUAGCUUAAUGAAAAGAUAUGAUUAGUUUUA